rnacentral:rRNA from 1 species
UACAGAGGUCCCAACCGUUGUUCGGAUUCAUUGGGCGUAAAGGGCGCGCAGGCGGCUGGACAAGUGGGGUGUGAAAUCCCCGGGCUCAACCCGGGAACUGCAUUCCAGACUGUCUGGCUGGAGUACUGUAGAGGGCAGUGGAAUUUCCGGUGUAGCGGUGAAAUGCGUAGAGAUGCGGAAGAACACCAGUGGCGAAGGCGGUUGACUGGUCUCCAACUGACACUGAACCGCGAAAGCAUGGGUAGCGAACGGG